rnacentral:piRNA from 1 species
UGUACUACAACAGGAGGUCAUAAAUGAUGU